UGCAGGCUAGAGAACUGUCCCUUAGAUAAAGUCACUGAAGAACUGGAGUGGUGGAGAAUCAAAGUCAAGAAGCAGAAGGCAGCUUGUAACUGCAGGAGCAGAAGAGAGUUCAUAACAGUUUCCACCAUGGAGCAGAUUCAGUGCCAAUGUCAACAUAAGGACAGAAGCAUUUCCAAUCUGUGAGUGCACUGUUUCCAGUGCUCCCAGUUGGAAGCCGAACCAAGAGGCCAAUCCAGACUGUUCUUCAAAUCUGACACCACCUCCACUGACAUCAUUUGCCAUGCUUUGGCUGCAGAUUCCCUUUCACAUACUUGCAUCUCUCAAUUAAGAUACACACCUUUUUUGUUUUCCUCUAAAUUUUGCCCUACAAUACAUAAAAAUGUGUUUAUUGGAGAUUAAAAAAGAAAUCACUGAAUAAAAGUGGCAGAUCAGACCGUAUCUGUGAUGUCUUCAGGUUUGUUUUUUUAAACUGAUUUUGCUCAUGCAGCUUAUAUGUGCAGCCAUUCUUAUUUCUGCUAGGAGGUGCAGCUGACUACUUCAAACUGUACUUCAAUAUCUUGGCUCCACAAAAGUCAACAAUCAGUGGCAAAACUUAUUCAAGAACACCAAAAGCAUGUACCUGCAUAGAGAAUAG
ensembl:lncRNA